rnacentral:lncRNA from 1 species
GAAUAGCCUCAGAUACUUUGUUUUGAAGGGAGUGCAGAAAUCCUGCAGGUUUAAUUGCCAAUAAAUCAGCAUGACCUCUACUCCCUGGCAGGCCUUUUCUACAAUGAUCUUUUCAACCAGAAAAUGAAGAGAUGGAUUUUACAGUGUGUGCUUACUGCCUAUGAUGGUGCUUUUCCUGCCUAACCGCAGGGAGCUGAACCGGAUGAUCUCUUGAGGCUUUUUCCAGCUCCAAGAUCUGUGAUGCAACCUGGUGUGUCGGGAGAUCAUGUUGUUUUGGGCGG